CGUGGUCAUAUCACUUUGAAACAUCGAUUCUCGUCCAGUCAUCGAGGAUAAGCAACGUGGAGCCUGGUAAGUACCCAGAUGGAUGACCGCUUGGGAAUAACAGGUGCUGUCAG